AUGGCGUACUUAACUCGCGGAUCAUGUAAACCUUCGGAGAUCAGGAGCUUUAUGGAUUACGCGGUCGAAGUGCUUGCGUUCAGAGUAUAUCAAUUCCCUACGGACUUGGACGUUCCGGGCGGGACGAAUGUUACCUUGCACUGCAAUACUCAAAUAUCAAAAGAUACUGUUAGCUUUCUUUGGUGGAGGGAAGGCGAGAAUGCAUUUUUAGAAAGUGACAGCAGAAAACAAUUUAGUCUCGAAAAGACAAGAGGAACGCUUGUUCUGCUGGAUGUGAAAUUCGCCGAUUCCGGAAUUUACUACUGUGGAGCAAAGUAUCGGGAACAAUCAUUCUGGAAUGGAAGUGGCUCCAAGCUCACUGUGUUCGCUCCCCCAACUCCAUUGGAAAUCGUUCCUAUUGCAGAGUUUUCGUCUCCUCGGAAACUCCUUUGUAAAACAGCUGCCUUCUACCCGAAGGAAUUACAAAUCGUCUGGCAAACGAAUAACAGGCAAAUUCUCACUGGAAUAAAAACAGAUAUUAACCGGACGGCGGAGGGUUUAUAUGAGGCUUACAGUUUAUUGGAAAUUAAUCAGUCUGCUUGGGGAAAAGAUGUUUACAUCUGUCUGGUGUUGCAUGUCUCCCUCACAGUGCCUGCCUGUUUCAGCCACAUCCUGGAGCAAGAUCUACAAGGCGCUGAUCUUAGAUUAAUUCUUACAUGUGCAGUCGGCGGAUUGGCAAUUUUAGUUCUGAUAAUAACUUCGCUGAAGAGAAAGAGAUCGCACGGGCGUAACACAAAUUAUUUGGCCGGAUGUCAGAAUGAAGACCCGGUAGAUGCCGUGACUCGUCUUGUUUCAGAGCAGGGUACACGCAUAGCAUAGAUAUUAUGAAUCUAUUUUAUUCCAUAAAACUUUGGAGCGUAGCAGGAAAAUUUAAAACUAUUUUCAAGUAUAUAUCCAUGAUUUAUUUGAAUGUACCCGUUGCAUCUGCUUCCUGUGUUCUUUCAAGAUUCCACGCCAGUUCGUAAGCGGUUGCAUUGGAAGGUGAGCGGUAAUGUUUCCCAGUGGAAGGUAACAUAGUUUGGCGAAUAAUUAAACAAACAUCUGAGACUGCGAGAAACUAGUAGAUGCUAGUUUACGAGAAUCACAGUUUACUGCACAAUGGGAAAGUACAGUGCGUUCUCAAAUCAAUUCGUAAUGUCUGCUACAUUUAAUCUCAACGGAUAGUAAACAAGAUAAAAAAAAUGCAACGACGUAAUGUUUUGUUGAACUGGUCUUUGCAAUAUUACAUGCAGUUUUAACGCCGAUCCGCAACGAAAAUCCACACAGCAGUGCAUAACCUGCAAUGGAAUCGAAUAUACUUGCAACAAAACGCUGUAGUAUGUGGUGAACAAUGAUAACCACAUGUUAAAUGAAACUGCACAUGGCAUCUUCUGGUCCACGAUGCUAUGCUGAAUGAUCAUUAUCCUCAAUUUGGGAAGAAAUACCGAAAACGGAUAAAAGUAUUGCCUUUUCCCAUUUGGAAUUCAAACAGAAAACAAUCGGUAGCUACUGACGGCAUUUUUGGAAAGAGAACCAGCUGACAUUCCAGAUUGAAGACCAUUCGCCAGAAUACAACGUUAAC